UAGAUGCUGCUGCCCUGUCCCACUCUCUGGCAUCCAUAACCCUGAAAGAGCCAGAAGAAGAAAAAUGAGGAGUGAAAUGGGGAUAAAAAGGCAGGCACAUCCCCUCCCCUACCCAGGUCCCUCAGGCCAAAGGCUGGCCUGGACCAAGGGGAUAAUAAAUUCUAAAUUGGAGGUGAAAUUAAAGUUUUAAAGGACUAACUGGCAGAAAAUUCUCAGAUCUGCUAUAAAGGGACAUUCCAUCAAACACAUCUGAAGGCAAUGAUUAGAGGGAAUAAAACUGCCUCAUGCUUAUUUCUCACCAAGAUCUACCUGUUCAAUGGACUGAUGAUAAAAGCAUGGGGCCCAUUAAGACAGGAAAGGCCCAGGGUUCUAGAGAGGGGCAGAGCAGAGGAUCAAAGCCCAGCCGUGUGGAAUCAGAGACCUCCCUGAGGAGACACGCAGGAUGAACAGUCAGGCAGAGACCUGGUGUGGAAAGAGAGAAACGUCCAGUGUGGCUGCAGCGAUGAGAGAGUGGACACGAAGGCUCUGGAGAGGUGGUGGGUAGGAAAGAACCAGAUCACAAAGGUCCGGUAGGUCAAGGUGAGGAUUCUGGACUUUGUUCCAAGGAUAAAAGCCAGCCUCUGCUGGGGUUUAAGCAGGGGACUAACACUCUGAUUUGCAUGUAUAACACACAGUGUAGUUGUGGUGUGGAGUAGAGCUUGGAGAAGUGAAGAUGCGAGUUCAAGAAGCUCAUGAUGAAUUCCAAGGGAUGAUGGUGGUUUGGACCAAGGACAAUGGAGAUGGGGGAGAGGAGGUGUGGAAACAAUUUCAAGGAGCUCAGCACUUAUCCGUGGUAAAAGGUGCAUCAUCUGCAAUUUCUCCGGAGAAAAUUCAGGACAUCAGGAUGAAUCUGCGUCACUUUUGAUCCAAAGAUACACUUGACUGAGGGGACUCUGGGCAGGCAGCUAAGCCUUGACCCUGACUGGUGGUGCCAGAGGCUUUGGAAUACAGAGCUUGGAGAGAAGGGGAAGGAAAGAGCUAAGGACUGGACAAAGGAAGAUCUUGCCAUCUGGCAUAGGCAAGAUCUAGCGAUAGAUGUAUAAAAAUAUAAAGAUCAGAGUUCCCGUCGUGGCUCAGUGGUCAAUGAACCCAACCAGCAUCCAUGAGGACGCAGGUUUGAUCCCUGGUCUCACUCAGUAGGUUAAGGAUCUGGCGUUUCCUUGAGCUGUGGUGUAGGUCACAGCUGUGGCUUGGAUCCCACCUUGCUGUGGCUAUGGCAUAGGUUGGCAGCUAUAGCUCCGAUUGGACCCCUAGCCUAGGAACCUCCAUAUGCCACAGGUGAGGCCCUAAAAAGACAAAAAGACAAAAAAUAAAAAUUUUUAAAGAUUGCUUAUAUAAAUCCCUAUCUUAUAGCUAAGGAUAUGGAUUAAUGCAUGGAGGCUAAAACAGUCUCCAUUAUCCAGCAGAUCUGGAUUUCAUCCCAGCUUUGACACUCACUAGCCAGAGAAGCCACUUGACCACCGUGAGCCUAGAUUUUUCCAUCUGCAAAAUGGGUAUAAUGAGACCUUUCUUGAAAAUCUUGCAGGGGGCUUGGGAAAUUUAAGUAAAUUACCAAUAAAUCACCAAGCAUAGCCCGUUUAUUUAGGCACUGAAAACGAAGAGACGUGAGCUGACCUGGAAGACACACAGAAGUUAGGAAGAAGGGAAAUUGGUGGUUGACUGAUCAGAUGUGGGUAGUAAGAGAAAGGGCAGAGGCUGGAUGAUGCUCAGAUGGAGGAUGAGGGACCCCUCCCACAGGUACCCCAGCCUGCCGACCCCCCUUUGUGUAGGAAGCAGAGUAAUCCUCCAUUCCUCCCUCUAUCACUAAGAAAUUCUCUAGAAGGCUCCCAUAAAAGUGAAAAUAAGAAAAAGAAACAUUCAUCAAGUAUAUUUGCUACCUGCCAGCUGAGGACUUUACAUUUAUGUCAUUCCAGCCUCACAACAAUGACCUGUGGGUUAGCAAGUAAUAUCCUGCCAUUUCACACGUGAGGAAACUGAGGCUCAGAGACAGGAAGCAGCAUCCCCAAGCCUCUCAGCAAAUAAGCAGCAGCUUCCGGUCUCAAACCUGGGCCUGACUCCAGCCCACCUGAGCAGCCGAGGUUGCAGGCACCCACCCCCAACCCCAACACACACACAUAGCAGGCAGUCCUCGCCAGUUCUGGCAGGUGACUGAUUUAGAGGGAAGGCUUGUCAAGAACAGCCAGGCGCCUGAGUGAAUUUGUGACCCCACAACCAGGUGUUCCUGCUGCCUGCUGACAGCACCUGGAUUACGGGUGGCAGGAAGAGGAACAGGCCCCAGGCUUUUGACACAGAUUCAUGGCACCAACCAGCUAUAGCUCUCAGGAUCCUCUGGCCCUCAAACAUCUGUGGUUCCCAGUGGCCUUGCUCCUCAAAGGGCGGUCUUAACCCAGCAGGCUUGCCUCACCUGGGAGCUCAUCAGAAAUGCAGAACUUUAUAGAGUUCCCAUGUAGUCCAGUGGGUUAAGAACCCAACAUAGCCUCUGCAAGGAUGGAGGUUCCAUCCCUCACCUUGCUCAGUGGGCUAAGGAUCCAGCAUUGCCACAAUCUGCGGCAUAGGUCACAGAUGCAGCUCAGAUCUGUUUUUGCUGUGGAUAGGGUAUAGGCUGGCAGCUACAGUUCUGAUUUGAUCCCCAGCCUGGGAACUUUCAUAUGCCACAGAUGCAGCUGUAAAAAGAAAAAAAAUGCAGAACCUCAGACCCCCUGGACCUGCUAAAACAGAAUCUGCAGGUGGUUGGCAUACACAUUGACAGAUAAAAAGACCAUUGGCUACAAGUCCAGAGACCUAGGUAAGGGUCCUGACCAGCCACCAAGAGGCUCUGUGACCUUGGCUAAGCCCCUUCUCUUCCCUGAGCCUCGGUUCCUCAUCUGUGCGAUGAGGGUGCCAGGGUGCUUAGAUCAGCUGCUCUCUAAGGGCCUGCCAGCCAGUGGAGGGGACAGAGGCCUGGGAAUUCAGACUCAAAGCUCUGUAAGUAUUUAAACUAAGUAACUAAGUAACGCCACAGGUUUUUACUGAGCACCUACUAUAUGCCAGGCAUGCUAGACCCUGGUGACAGCAGUGAUGACCAAGUCACGGAUCUAAUGAAGUUUAUAUUAAUUAAUUCUCUAGUAAUGAAAUGAAGAUAAAACCCCACCUCUACUCCCUCAAAGCUGUGUGACUUUAGCAACACAAUUCAAUCUCACCACUAUCUAGUUCUCUCACCUGUAAAAUAACAGUAACAAGCGCAGCUGACACGCAUGGACACCUAUUGUCAGACACUAUUCUAAACCCUUACAGGAUUCCCCGGGAGGCAGUAGAGCAUGAGUUCCAACCUCCUGAAAACUGUGGGGCAGUGCUUUCCCUCUCUGUGCAUGGAUUCCUAUGACAGAUGCAGUGCCCCCGGGUCCCUUUCGAGGACUGAUGAACUUAGUGGCCCUAGCAGCUGGGCAUGCUGCCUCUGACAGCCCUCAGUUGGCAGGUUCCUUUGCGGAUGGCCUUGGCUGAAGACAACUGCCUCACCCAAGUUCAUGCUCAUGCCCAGUGUCUGAUCAACCCAGUGACCCAGUGGGUUAAGAAUCUGACUACUAUCCAUGAGGAAGCAGAUUCAAUCCCUGGCCUCGCUCAGUGGCUUAAGGAUCUGGUGUUACUGUGGGCUAGUGUAGGUCACAGAUGCAGCUCAGAUCUGGCAUUGCUGUGGCUGUGGUGUAGGCCAGCAGCUGCAGCUCUGAUUCGACCCCUAACCUGGGAACUUCCAUAUGCCAAGGGUGCAGCCCUAAAAACAAAUAAACAAAAAUAAAUCACAGUGGUACAAAGCCCACCAUGGACCAACAGAAGGACCAUCCAAGCUAGAGCACCCUGUGGGGUCAGCUGAAGUCUUGGCCGAGACCUGUCGCAGUUCAACUUCUCCCUCAGGCCGUCCUGCCUCCACCCCUCCUACUGCGGGUGCAGGUCCCAAGAGCGCUUCCUCUUAAGCAGCUGCAAGCUCUUCUCCAUCCCCUUCUCCAGUCCCUUUCUGGGAACCAUGAAUGAAUGACUGAGUGAAUGAAUGAAUGGCAAAUAGCUCCAUGCAACAGGACUGGGGCGUGCACAGGGGUGCGUGAACACUGCUCAUGAUGUAAACUUAAUUGUGUGGCAUCUCCCUGCGGAGGUUUCCAGAAUAGCACUGCACUGGAGAGAAGACAGCCUGCGCAAAGGAAAGAGUCCUGGCCUGGGAUUCAAGGAGCCCAAAGUCCUGGCUCCUACUAUGCUGUGUAGUCCUGAAGAAACCACUCUACCUCUCUGGGCUUCAAGUCUUCAUUUGCUAAGUCAUCCCCAGGUUGUCAUCUAGCUCAUUCAUUCAGGAAAGAGCCACUCCACAAGAAUAGCCAUCCCAUAACCACAAUAAAUGUUUGCGGAGUAAAGAAUAGGGGACAGAUUGGCCCAGAAUGAUACUGGGAACAGGUACGAGUAGAUAAAAGAAGGAAAUAUAACAUCUUUUUCCUUUGGGCCUGAGGCAGCACUUAAGAUUGAAGUGGGCUACUUUUCAGUACACUACAAAUGCAUAUAUCCUUUGCCCCAACAAUUCCGCUUCUGAAAUUUUUUUUCCUAUAGUUAAACCAGACUUAUCAUGGGGUUAUUCAUUACAACAGUGUUUGUAAUAAUAAAAUAUUAGAAAUAUCCUAGGGACCAUAAAUGAGGAACAGAAUAAAUAAAUUGAAUGAAAUAUUGUGAUACUACAAAAGAAAAAGAUUAAGUCAGCUAUGUGCUGUUAAGGAAAAACCUCGCGAUAGAGUGCCAAGUGAAAAACUAAAGUGCAGAACGNUGGGGGAAUAGUACCUAUGUUUGUGUGCUCUGUGCUUACAGGUACAUAAAACGCCUCUAGGAAAAAAAAAAAACAAAAAAAAAA
rnacentral:lncRNA from 1 species